UACGUAGGUGGCAAGCGUUGUCCGGAUUUAUUGGGUUUAAAGGGUGCGUAGGCGGCUUUUUAAGUCAGUGGUGAAAGCCGAUCGCUUAACGAUCGAACUGCCAUUGAUACUGAGAGGCUUGAGUAUAGUUGAGGUAGGCGGGAUUGACAGUGUAGCGGUGAAAUGCAUAGAUAUCGUGAAGAACACCGAUUGCGAAGGCAGCUUACUAAAGUAUAACUGACGCUGAGGCGCGAAAGUGUGGGGAUCAAACAGG
rnacentral:rRNA from 1 species